CGACAACGCUGGCGGCGUGCUUAACACAUGCAAGUCGAACGGUGACGAGGAGCUUGCUCCUCUGAUCGAGUGGCGAACGGGUGAGUAACACGUGAGCAACCUGCCCCAGACUCUGGGAUAACAGUUGGAAACAGCUGCUAAUACCGGAUACGAGACGGAGAGGCAUCUCUACCGUCUGGAAAGUUUUCGGUCUGGGAUGGACUCGCGGCCUAUCAGCUAGUUGGUGAGGUAAUGGCUCACCAAGGCGACGACGGGUAGCCGGCCUGAGAGGGCGACCGGCCACACUGGGACUGAGACACGGCCCAGACUCCUACGGGAGGCAGCAGUGGGGAAUAUUGCACAAUGGGCGAAAGCCUGAUGCAGCGACGCCGCGUGAGGGAUGACGGCCUUCGGGUUGUAAACCUCUUUCAGCAGGGAAGAAGCGAAAGUGACGGUACCUGCAGAAGAAGCACCGGCUAACUACGUG
rnacentral:rRNA from 1 species